rnacentral:lncRNA from 1 species
GUUCCCUUAUCAAGGUGUUCUCUACCAUGAUACACAAUAAUAUACCUGACUGUUCCCUCUACCACGAUACACAAUAAUAUACCUGACAACAUGUUCCCUUAUCAAGGUGUUCUCUACCACGAUACACAAUAAUAUACCUGACUGUUCCCUCUACCAUGAUACACAAGAAUAUACCUGACUGUUCCCUUAUCAAGGUGUUCUCUACCAUGAUACACAAUAAUAUACCUGACUGUUCCCUUAUCAAGGUGUUCUCUACCAUGAUACACAAUAAUAUACCUGACUGUUCCCUCUACCAUGAUACACAAUAAUAUACCUGACUGUUCCCUUAUCAAGGUGUUCUCUACCAUGAUACACAAUAAUAUACCUGACUAUUCCCUUAUCAAGGUGUUCUCUACCAUGAUACACAAUAAUAUACCUGACUGUUCCCUUAUCAAGGUGUUCUCUACCACGAUACACAAUAAUAUACCUGACUGUUCCCUCUACCAUGAUUCACAAUAAUAUACCUGACUGUUCCCUUAACAAGGUGUUCUCUACCAUGAUACACAAUAAUAUACCUGACUGUUCUCUCUACCAUGAUACACAAUAAUAUACCUGACUGUUCUCUCUACCAUGAUAUACAAUAAUAUACCUGACUGUUACAUUAUCAAGGUGUUCUCUAUCAUGAUACACAAU